GAUGAACGCUAGCUACAGGCUUAACACAUGCAAGUCGAGGGGAAACGAUAUUGGAAGCUUGCUUCCGAUAGGCGUCGACCGGCGCACGGGUGAGUAACGCGUAUCCAACCUGCCCACCACUUGGGGAUAACCUUGCGAAAGUAAGACUAAUACCCAAUGAUAUCUCUAGAAGACAUCUGAAGGAGAUUAAAGAUUCAUCGGUGAUGGAUGGGGAUGCGUCUGAUUAGCUUGUUGGCGGGGUAACGGCCCACCAAGGCGACGAUCAGUAGGGGUUCUGAGAGGAAGGUCCCCCACAUUGGAACUGAGACACGGUCCAAACCCCUACGGGAGGCAGCAGUGAGGAAUAUUGGUCAAUGGGCGAGAGCCUGAACCAGCCAAGUAGCGUGCAGGAUGACGGCCCUAUGGGUUGUAAACUGCUUUUAUAAGGGAAUAAAGUGAGCCUCGUGAGGCUUUUUGCAUGUACCUUAUGAAUAAGGACCGGCUAAUUCCGUGCCAGCAGCAGCCGCAG
rnacentral:rRNA from 1 species